rnacentral:rRNA from 1 species
AACGUACGCUGGCGGCACGCCUAACACAUGCAAGUCGAACGAAGUAGCAAUACUUAGUGGCAGACGGGUGAGUAACAUGUAGGUAUCUGCCCUUUGGCCUGGAAUAACACGAGGAAACUUGUGCUAAUACCGGAUAAGUCUUUACGGAGAAAGCUUUAUGCACCAUUGGAUGAGCCUGCACUUGAUUAGUUUGUUGGUGGGGUAAUGGCCUACCAAGACUGUGAUCAAUAGCUGAUUUGAGAGGAUGAUCAGCCACAUUGGGACUGAGACACGGCCCAAACUCCUACGGGAGGCAGCAGUGGGGAAUCUUGCACAAUGGAGGAAACUCUGAUGCAGCGAUGCCGCGUGAGUGAAGAAGGCCCUUGGGUUGUAAAGCUCUUUCGUCGGGGAAGAAAAUGACUGUACCCGAAUAAGAAGGUCCGGCUAACUUCGUGCCAGCAGCCGCGGUAAUACGAAGGGACCUAGCGUAGUUCGGAAUUACUGGGCUUAAAGAGUUCGUAGGUGGUUGAAAAAGUUAGUGGUGAAAUCCCAGAGCUUAACUCUGGAACUGCCAUUAAAACUUUUCAGCUAGAGUAUGAUAGAGGAAAGCAGAAUUUCUAGUGUAGAGGUGAAAUUCGUAGAUAUUAGAAAGAAUACCAAUUGCGAAGGCAGCUUUCUGGAUCAUUACUGACACUGAGGGACGAAAGCAUGGGUAGCGAAGAGGAUUAGAUACCCUCGUAGUCCAUGCCGUAAACGAUGUGUGUUAGACGUUGGAAAUUUAUUUUCAGUGUCGCAGGGAAACCGAUAAACACACCGCCUGGGGAGUACGACCGCAAGGUUAAAACUCAAAUGAAUUGACGGGGACCCGCACAAGUAGUGGAGCAUGUGGUUUAAUUCGAAGAUACGCGCAGAACCUUACCAACACUUGACAUGUUCGUCGCGACUCUAAGAGAUUAGAGUUUUCGGUUCGGCCGGACGAAACACAGGUGCUGCAUGGCUGUCGUCAGCUCGUGUCGUGAGAUGUUGGGUUAAGUCCCGCAACGAGCGCAACCCUCACUUUUAGUUGCCAUCAUUAAGUUGGGCACUCUGAAAGAACUGCCAGUGAUAAGCUGGAGGAAGGUGGGGAUGACGUCAAGUCCUCAUGGCCCUUACGUGUUGGGCUACACACGUGCUACAAUGGUAUCUACAACAGGAAGCAAGACUGCGAAGUUAAGCAAAUCCCUAAAAGAUACCUCAGUUCGGAUUGCACUCUGCAACUCGAGUGCAUGAAGCUGGAAUUACUAGUAAUCGUGGAUCAGCGUGCCACGGUGAAUGCGUUCCCGGGUCU